rnacentral:lncRNA from 10 species
AUUUUUGAGAAUGAGGUCCACUAAUUACCAGCUCUGUGAUCCUUGGCAAGUUGCUUAUCCUCACAAGCUAAAUGUUUAAUAAAUCAGUACAGAAGGCAUCAGGAGACACCAAAUAUGGUCAGGACACCGCACAGCAAUGAUUGGGAUGCAAGUCAUCUACAGGCUCACCACCAUUUGUCCUUCCUGGUAGAGAAUGGACAAGAGACUUUUAUAAAUUUAUGUCCUGUUUUUUAGACUAUAGUGGGAAGGCAGAGAAUUUCU